CUCCCUCAUGUGGAUUGUGCUGGAUUGAGUCCAUACAGUCCUGGCUCCUCCAUCAUCUUCUGCCAUGACUGUCAGUUCCCUGAGGCCUCCCCGGAAGCUGAUGCCACCAUACUUCUUGUACAGCCAGAGGAACUGUACCUGAUGAAACUGAGGAUAUCGUCUUUUACGCACUGCUGACAGUGCUUCCACUAUAGGAGCAGCAUCUACCAGGACACCACAUGCUAUUAUCCCCUCUUACUGCCUUUGCCCCAUCCAAAACUUCAACAAGCAUUAUUAUUGUCCUGUCAAACUUUGAAAGUGCUGCUUUGCACUGUAUUAUAAAAAAACAAGAGGAGAGGUCAAAACCUGUUGGAAAAGCCUGUUUUGCAUACCAAAUAAUUUGUUUUGGGAUGAUUUAACUUCACCCUUCCAUUUCUGAAGCCUGUGGGAUUUUCUAAAAUGUAGUGCAAACAAUCAGUCAAAGAAAGCAUUCAACCAAAGGAGAAAACACCAAGGAUCCGCUUUCAUGGUAAUGUUGCUCAAAGGGAUAAAAAGUGAAACUUAGACUAAAAUCGCUCAUCUUUAUUCAGAUUGAAAAAGACAGGUUUUAAAUCUUCCAAAUUCAAUGUGUUACAGAAAGACUGUGAGUUUACAAGUUAGCAAAUGUGUAUCCUCUCAGUUAUUUAGCUGUCUGAACUUCAACAAGAGAUUCAAACUUUUUGGGCCUCAGUUUCUUUUUUUUUUUUUUUUUUUUUGUAAAAGAGGAAAAUUAAUGCUUGCUUCAUUUGGUUCACAUAAGGAAUGAAUAAGAGUUAAUAUUUAGCCCCUGUACCAGUUAUCUAUCACUAAGUAACAAACACCCCAACAUCAUUUCUCACAAAUCUCUGGGAUGGCUGGUGGUCUCACACAGGCUUGCUCUUGUGGUUGUAUUCAUCUGGUGGGUCAGCUGGAGCUGGAGACUCUGUGUUGACAUUGCCCAUGUGUCUGAGGCCCUGAUGCCAACGGUUGGAAGUCUAGGACCUCUCUCUUCACAUGGUUCCUCAUCAUUCAGUAGAUUAGCCCACCUUUAUAUGGCAUUUAAGUUCCAAGAAAGUGAAGGCAGAGGCUUCAAGGCAUCUUGAGGCUCAGGCUCAAGAGUUCCCAAAACACCACAUCAGCCACAUUCUACUGGUUAAAGCAAGUUAGAAUGCUAACUAAGAUUCAAGGUGGAGAAAUAAUAGCUACCACUCAAUGGAAAGUGCUCUGGUCUCAGUGUUUGUGUCCUAUCGAACAGAUAUGUUGAAAUAUUAACCCCCAAAGUAAUGGCAUUAGAUUGUAGAGACUUGAAAGGGUUAUUAAUUCUUGAAGAUCGUGCCCUCAUUGAGGUUAGUGCCUUAUAAAAGAGACUCCAGAGAGUGAAUUCACCCCUCCCAAAAUGUGAGGACAUACCCUAAAGGUACCAUCUAUGAACCAGGAAGUAGGACUUCGUUGAACACUGAAUCUGCUGGCACCUGACACCUUGGUCUUGGACUUCCCAGUCUCCAGAACUGUGAGAAAAACAUUUUCAUUGUUUAUAAUGAUAUUACGAUGUUUUGUUAUAGCAGCCCAACCAAAACAGGAAGAAUGGCAGUAUUAUAUUGCAAAUAAGCGUGAAUAUAGAGAAUGUUAUUCAUUAAAGCCAUUAUUAUAAUACACUCCCUCUUGUAUUAUAGUCUGUGGGCCCUGUUUUCAAAUUCUAUAAAGUCCCAUCCUGGCUAACAUGGUGAAAGCCCAUCUCUACUAAAAAAUACAAAAAACUAGCCGGGCGAGG